UCCUUCUUAGCUCAGUUGGUAGAGCGCGUCACUAGUAUCAUGAUAUGACGAGGUCAGUCGUUCAAGUCGGCUAGAAGGAA